AAUUUUGGACAACGGGCGCAAGCCUGAUCCAGCCAUGCCGCGUGAGUGAAGAAGGCCUUCUGGUUGUAAAGCACUUUCGUACGGAAAGAAAUUGCGCAGGAUGAUACCCUGCGAGAAUGACGGUACCGUCAUAAUAAGUACUGGCUAACUCCGUGACAGAGGCCGCGGUAAUACGUAGGGUGCGAACGUUAACGGGAAUUACUGGGCGGAAAGCGUGCGCAGGCGGUUAAUUAAGACAGGCGUGAAAUCCCCGGGCUUAACCUGGGAACUGCGCUUGUGACUGGUCAGCUAGAGUACGGCAGAGGGGGGUGGAAUUCCACGUGUAGCAGUGAAAUGCGUAGAGAUGUGGAGGAACACCGAUGGCGAAGGCAGCCCCCUGGGCCGAUACUGACGCUCAUGCACGAAAGCGUGGGUAGCAAACAGG
rnacentral:rRNA from 1 species